CCUGGCGGCCUUAGCGCGGUGGUCCCACCUGACCCCAUGCCGAACUCAGAAGUGAAACGCCGUAGCGCCGAUGGUAGUGUGGGGUCUCCCCAUGCGAGAGUAGGGAACUGCCAGGN
rnacentral:rRNA from 1 species